AGAUACGGCCAUACCAUGAUGAAAGCACAGGAUCCCGUCCGAUCUCCUAAGUUAAGCAUCAUAGGGCCCAGUCAGUACUAGCGUGGGAGACCAGCUGGGAAUACUCGGGUGCUGUAUCUUUUC
rnacentral:rRNA from 1 species